GCACAGCAUACAUAAAGUACUUUUCCCAUGCCAACACGUUUUGUACUUUACAGAUAUCAUGCCACCAAAAAAACGACGUCAGGAGCUUUUUCCCCACCCAAAGCAUCUGGGCUUACAGACAAAUCUGCACCUGCAGGCAUGAUUGUAGACAUGGGCCCAACUGAUCCCCAUGUUGAGACUGCUGAGGAUGCACCCACUUCAAAGAAAAAGACCACCUUGGGGAGCUUCAAGACCACUGAGGGAACCACACUAAGACCCCCACCACAAAAAAAGCUAUAUCCUGAGUUACAGUCUUAUCUACAAUUGGACAACAUUGACAGUGAAGAGGACCCGCUGGACUGGUGGAGGGAACACCAGAGACUCUAUCCACGACUCUCAAAACUAGCAAAAAAGUACUUGUGCAUUCCAGCCACAAGCACUGGGGGAAAUGUAGUGACCUACCCUUGCUCGUCUCUCAAGCCAGAAAAUGUGGACAGGCUCCAUUCUUGCCAAAAACCUGUAAACACCACGUUAUGGGGCAGUGGUGGCUCGAUGGUUAAGGCUCUGGGUUACUGAACAGAAGGUCAGGGGUCCAAGCCCCAGCACUGCCAAGCUGCCACUGUUGGGGGCCCUUGAGCAAGGCCCUUAACCCUCUCUGCUCCAGGGGUGCAGUAUCAUGGCUGACACUGCACUCUGACCCUAACAUUGUUUGAAUUUCACUGUGCUGUAAUUUAUGUGACUAAUAAAGACUAAAGAUAUUUCUUUCUGCAUACACCUGAAUUUUCAUUUGGUUGCAUAUUGUUAUAAUUGAUGCAUAUUUUUCAUUUGGUUGAUGGCAUUUUUAUUUUUACUUAUCCUAUAUUUUGCUUCUACGAGAUGAUGCACUUUAAGGAUCGGUCUAAUUUCAUGCAAAGAUUUGUAAAUUAGCAGGAAUGUAGCACAACAUGGAGCUGAAAGCAGCGGUCUGUUUAUUUAAAUGUGAAAGUGCAAUUAAAAUGUUGUCCCUAAUAUAAUCGAGAACUCAAUAUUGAUCAAAAUAAUCGGGAUUACCAUUUUAGCCAUAAUCGUGCAGCCCUAGUGUGAAACAAAGAAAACACGGGAGUAUUCGACUCCACCGGCAAAUAACUCGUAAGCGCUAACAGGUCGAUUUCCCCGCUUCUACACACACGCACAAACACGAAGGAAAACCUGUUUCGUCGCCUUCUAUAACAGACUCGUUAAAGACAAACGGAUUUUUAGAAACAACGUAAUGCGGCUCUGGACUAAGUCACCGGUCUAAACUUAACUUUUUUACCGUUGUAAAAUACACGAAGUUAACUCUUCAGCUCAACUCUCGCCCCUGCUCCAAUUCUCUCUCUCUCUCACCAUGCCACUCCU
ensembl:lncRNA